AUAGCGAGACACGUGAGUGGUGCAGUAUUCUAGUCAGUUCUCCUUUCUUGAAGGCGGGGCUAAAAAUCCGCCAAAGGGCACAUCGAUGAAGCUCCUUGUCUUGGCUUGAGGCGCCCAGCCUUGGGUCUUGACUGGGAGAUAAGGUAGUAGGGCGAUCCACAAAGGCAUGUGGGCGUUGACCCUCCUACCGUGGAGGCCGUUUGCUCGGUUCUUACACGAGUAAGAAACAAGAGCAAAUGGUAUGAACCUGCAACGGCAAGCUAGGGAGCUUGUCUGCAGCGUAGCCUGCCUUGAGUGGAGGAAGAGGGGAUUAUGGAAAUGAGGUUUUGAUCUGUCGGCCAACAGGUCUAAAACUUUACCCAUAUGAAAUCUACUCUGCAAAAGAGGAUAAAAGAAAGGCAAGGAACUGCCGAGGAAAUCUCCUAGACUGUUCAAUUGACAUUUAAAGAGGAUUGCAGUGUAGACUAAGUGGUAAUCCAGUCUGGCGAUUGGUGACAACGUCAACUUCAGUGUAAAGGGAAACCGCCAUUGCGGCGACGCAGUGGUACUGAAUUGGGAAAUCCUACUGGACCUAAGCUACAGAGUUUACUCUUUAAAUGACCACUCCAUUAAUACAUAGU
rnacentral:sRNA from 1 species